CAGAGUAGAACGUGCGCGUUAAGUGCCGCGGGGACGGGGAGUUUGCCCUGCGGACGAAAUUACCGGUGCUUGGGCCGGCGAAUGCGGUGUACGUUUCGCAUCCCGCUGU
rnacentral:ncRNA from 1 species